rnacentral:lncRNA from 1 species
ACAGCAGGCAAGACAAGCUUCAGCCUAGAACACGCAGUGGGAAAGUGAGAAGCAAGAUUUCUCUAAGUACUCCGUCCCCAUGGAUGCCUCUAUGAUUGAAAGAAGACUUCAGUGAACUGAAGAGGCAUGACUCUUCGGUGACAGAAUCUAUAGGUUUACAAUAUUUCACAUGAUGUGGAUCCAGAUAAAACAAUCCAUUUCUUUGGAGCACCUCUGAAUUUCUCAUCUGCAUUGGGAAUCAUUGGCAAGCUAAAUCCCUGAUACCUGAAGCCCCAGCCUGGCACUAGCUGGAAAAGAGAUGCAAUACCAGGUUUUGGCAAAACUUUCUUGGAUAUCUGAGAAGUUCUUUGUGAGAAUGAUUUUAUCAAUUGUGGAUGUACCAAGUAGCAGAGCAGAAUUUAUGGUCGGGUCCCAGAAUCAAGUUAAACUUCAGUGGUAAGGUAACAAAUGAAAAAGACAAUAUAUUUGUACUUGAAAAUUGCAUCUUUACCUUGAUCACAGUACUGUGGUCCACCCGUACUGCAGAUUUGACUCUCCAGAGGUCUCUUUCAACUGCUACAAUUCAGUGAUUCUGUGAAAUCAUUGCAUUCCAGAGAAAGUGAACUGACAAAAACAUAAGUAUUGUGGUUGGUUUCUUUUUCUCACUUCUGAUGCGUUUGUACUGAGUUUUCUUUGUGACAUCUGAAAGUAGCUGAGAUAUAUGUGGUUUGGAUGUUCUGUAAAGAUUGCUUUUUAUCUUUCAGUCCUCUUAAAUACACUAGUAAUGUAAAACAAGCAACUCAAAACAGACUUUCCAAAAUAAAAAGAAGCACCCUAAGUGUUUCUUUGAAUUC